GCAUUGGUGGUUCAGUGGUUGAAUUAUCGCCUCCCAUAUGAACAACCUGGGUUCAAUUCCCAACCAAUGCA
rnacentral:tRNA from 1 species